GGCUGAAACUUAAAGGAAUUGACGGAAGGGCACCACCAGGAGUGGAGCCUGCGGCUUAAUUUGACUCAACACGGGAAAACUUACCAGGUCCGGACAUAAGAAGGAUUGACAGAUUGAGAGCUCUUUCAUGAUUUUAUGGGUGGUGGUGCAUGGCCGUUCUUAGUUGGUGGAGUGAUUUGUCUGGUUGAUUCCGUUAACGAACGAGACCUCAGCCUGCUAAAUAGUUAUGCUAUUCUUGAAUAGCUUAGCUUCUUAGAGGGACUUUCCGGGUC
rnacentral:rRNA from 1 species